rnacentral:rRNA from 1 species
AACCGAUCAACCAACCCCAGAGCACUUGUGGGCGCCGCGCCUCCCCCGGGGGGAGCGGCGUCCGCCGUUUUCGGAACCGCCGGUGAGGUGCGCUCCCCCGGGGGCGCGCCCCUGCCGUGCGGGGCCCUAACCCAUGAAACCUUCUGCCCUGAAGCAGCUUCGUACGGGGACACCCCUGCGAUCUAACUGAGACAACUCUCAACAACGGAUAUCUAGGCUCUCGCAACGAUGAAGAACGCAGCGAAAUGCGAUACGUAGUGUGAAUUGCAGAAUUCCGUGAGUCAUCGAAUCUUUGAACGCACAUUGCCGGUCGAGUCUUCGGACGAGACCACAUCUGCCUCAGCGUCGGGAUACCCCCUCACGCCCGCUCGCGAGAGCGGGCCGUGGACCUGGCCCCCCCGGUCCUUGCGGCCGGGCUGGCUGAAGUACAGAGGUUCGUGCGCGGCCCAUUCGCGGCCCCGACUAGGUAGGUUGCUCGCAACUUCUAGGCGGAGGCUCGGUGCCGUGUGCUAUGAGCCACGAAGGAUACUAACUUUCCAUUCGACCUGAGUUCAGUGAGGCUACCCGCUGAACUUAAGCAUAUCAAUAAGGGAGAAGGAAA